GGAUGGCUCAGUCGGUAGGGCAUGAGGCAGUUGAUCUCAGGGUCGUGGGUUCGAGCUCCACGUUGGGCA